rnacentral:rRNA from 1 species
ACGGCUCAGUAACACGUGGACAACCUACCCUCAGCACGGGGAUAAACCCGGGAAACUGGGUAUAAUACCCGAUAGUUCUGGUUUGCUGGAAUGCUUCCAGGACGAAAGCUCCGGCGACUGAGGAUGGGUCUGCGGCCUAUCAGGUAGUAGUGGGUGUAAUGUACCUACUAGCCUACGACGGGUACGGGUCGUGAGAGCGAGAGCCCGGAGAUGGAUUCUGAGACACGAAUCCAGGCCCUACGGGGUGCAGCAGGCGCGAAAACUUUACAAUGCUGGCAACAGCGAUAAGGGGACCUCGAGUGCCAGGAUACAAUCUUGGCUGUCGCAAUGCCUAAAAAGCAUUGCAUAGCAAGGGCCGGGCAAGACCGGUGCCAGCCGCCGCGGUAACACCGGCGGCUCGAGUGGUAACCGCUAUUAUUGGGUCUAAAGGGUCUGUAGCCGGCCGGAUAAGUCUCUUGGGAAAUCCAGCUGCUCAACAGUUGGGCUUUCAGGAGAUACUGUUCGGCUCGAGGCCGGGAGAGGUGAGAGGUACUUCAGGGGUAGGGGUGAAAUCUUGUAAUCCUUGAAGGACCACCAGUGGCGAAGGCGUCUCACCAGAACGGACCUGACGGCAAGGGACGAAAGCUAGGGGCACGAACCGGAUUAGAUACCCGGGUAGUCCUAGCCGUAAACGAUACUCGCUAGGUGUCAGCCACGGUGCGACCGUGGUUGGUGCCGUAGGGAAGCCGUGAAGCGAGCCACCUGGGAAGUACGGCCGCAAGGCUGAAACUUAAAGGAAUUGGCGGGGGAG